rnacentral:tRNA from 1 species
GCGGAUGUGGUGGAAUUGGCAGACACGCAAGUUUCAGGUACUUGUGAGUAACAUCAUGCAGGUUCGACUCCUGUCAUCCGCACCA